UCUCUUCUUUCCUUUCCCCCUCCUAGAUUUUCUGCCGCCGCCGCAGUCGCCACCGGCCGCCUUCGGCGCAGCCGCCAACCAGCGUGACCUCCCCUGCCUCCCGCCCUCGCCUGCCACGAAGAAGACCGGCUCAUGAUGUGCCGCUCGGUGGUGCCUCCCUCACACGGCCACCGCCCCUGUAUCCUCCCACUUUUCUCGUUGCCGCCUCACUUGGUGCUCGACUGGAGGAGUUCGAUCCGUCGCGCCACUGCUGCGCCUCUCCCUCCUCGGUGCUCAACAGGAGUGUGCGCGCGUGUGCACCGUCUCGGGAGAAGGAGGAGGUCGUCGGGGCUGGCUUCCCUUUUGUUCUGGCCGUGGAGCUCCGCAAGUCGGUGAGUCCCCAAUCCAGUCCUGAGUCCUGACUCCCCCCCUCCCCCUCUCUCUCUAUGUCUCUCUCUUCCUCUCCCCAUCAAAGAGAAUCUGCCGACCUCGAGGUGUAGGCGGCCAUGGCAAAGAUUACACAAGAUGUUUGAUGAAAGGCCAGCAGCUCCUUUUUUCAACUGUUUUUAUGAGGCCCAGUUGCUAAAUUGCAAUGAUAAAUUAUAAAUGCGUAAAGACCCACUGGUUUCGUCGCAAGUGGAGCUCUCUACAUAUUUACUUUUAUGAGGCACUUAUUGUUCUUUCAGGUUGUUGUCUAAUUGGUGUGAUUUCAAUUAGCAAUUUCCUAUGCUUUUGACUAUGGAAAAUGGCAGCAAGGUAACCCAGGUAAGAUUUGCUCUUCAACUUAUUGUUCGUUCAUAUUCAGUUCAGGAAUCAGAGUCAUCCCUCCACUGGUUGUUGAGUGCCUAAUGGCAUCCAAUGUUUAUCAUCCACAUGGACCAUAGCAUGAUAUAUCUGAAUUUUGCAUGUGUUUCUUGGAACAGACAAACAUUGCGCCCAGCUACUCUUACUGUGGCGCGGCAGCGUAAACUCCUCUCCCUUUAUCCACAGUCCUGUUUACCAAUUUUCUCAGGCGGAUGCGCUCCUAUGUGUCCAUGUUGUUACUUGCUACUGCCUAUAUGUCUAUUUUUACAGGUUCUUGCGCUACUUUGUAGAGAAAAAUCUGAGAUUUUGGGUCAUUCGGGGAUGGAUUAACAUGUUUAGGGUUCAGACACUAGCUUCAAGAAUGUGGUUACAGUAUUUCACUUCCCUUGGUCCCUACAAAUUGCAAGAUAGAUCAGAGUAUUUCUGUUUUGGAGCUGGUGCUCUGUUCGUGAAGCUCAGUGUCUUAAGAAGAUCAGUCACGUCCGAAGGGUAACUGUUUAUCCAUGAAGCACUUGGGCAUGAGAUCAACGACACUUGAGAGAUGGCCAUGUGGUAACAUGCAGACCUCUUGAAUAGUUCAUAGAAAAAAAGGAGGAGGCUUUAUAUAAGAGAAAGUGGCAAGAAAAUGUCGAAAAGCAUCUGUGUACACCGUACAGAACCUGAGUUAGAAACAAGGGACAAGAGGAGAGCCUUAUUCGUUUUUUGUUGAUCGAGAUGUUGAAAAUGCACAACACAUCGAAAUGGAUACCUCAGGAGGAAUCAAAGAGGGAACCAUAAAUGAUCUCAAUGCAGCAAAAGUUUCAGCAAUGAAAGCUGCUGAAAUAGACACCGAGGAGGGUCCGUCGGUAGUCAAGAAACAGGAGCUCGACGCCGACCUGGAGAAACUCUACGUAGCAGACUGAGACUCUCGGCCUACAAGGAACUCUGUCUGCGACUGUCGCGGCGCUGGCGAUAUCAAGUGCCUCGGAUGUACAUGCUUCACUGGCUUGUUUAUCCCUGCAUGCCGGCGCAUCCGCACCAACUAUAAUCUUGUUGAAACUUAAGUUAACUAGGGAAUGGGUAGCUUGUUAGACUGAAUCAACGAAACUACAGGUGCCUUAAUGCUUAUGUGUCUGUUCCGAGGAGAGGCAGAAUAGCAAGGUAGGAAACAAACAGAGUAGCGAGCUAUAUUUACCAAGUCAAGAACUAAUGUUAUUUGCCGUGCCGGUUUAUCAGACUGUAGAAUUUUGUAUAGGUUCAGGAGGUGCUCUUGCAAUACAACAUUGUGAGAACGAUUGUAAGUUCAUGUUCAUGUGGAGAUAUUUUCUUGGUCAUUAUCAUAGUUUUUGGGCCCUGGCAUGAUCA